GGGAUUGUAGUUAAUCCUGGUGGUGUAGUUCUAUCAGAUUUCUCGAUUAACUCCCUCACAUUCAAUCUUAAGGGGUUAGAUAUCAUUGUCCCAUUAGACAUAGGAACAGGAAAUCAUACUGUUCCAGGUGGAGAUGAUGUUUGUCAUAGUUUGUUUGGUGGAGCAAGCCUUCAUAUUGAAAAUUUCACCCUUUCUGAGUCACCUACUCUUAAGCUGGGGCUACUAAACCUCGAGAAGGAUCCGGCAUGCUUCAGUCUGUGGGAAGAUCAACCAAUUGAUGGUAGCCAGAAGAAAUGGACUGCUGGUGCUUCAGUCAUUAGUCUCUCUCUACAAACAUGUAAAGAUUCAACUGGACUCCAAAAUUCUCUUGCAUUACCUUCAAAUUCAUGGAGAUGUGUUGAGCUGAAAGGUGCUUGCCUUGAAGUAGCAAUGGCUACUGCAGAUGGAGGCCCUUUAACAAAUGUCCCACCUCCGGGAGGAAUU
rnacentral:misc_RNA from 1 species